rnacentral:lncRNA from 1 species
CAGAGCACACAACCCCCACCACCACACGCGGGAUCUCACCGUCAGCACCCUCCGAGGCCAAGGGCGGUCCCGCGGGGAUGGGAAGGCAGCACCCUGACGCGGGCCAACCGGGGGCCGUCGUGCCUCAGCCACAGCCAACCCAAACACGCAUCUUUCACGCGGGGAAGACCACCGGCCCCGCCCCCGCCACCAGUCACGGACAGACCCCAACCCCACAAGGCCCCCACGGGCACGCGGGCAGCGGAGCCCUCAAAGAGCCCACCCUCCCCCGGAGGGGGGAGGGCGAACGGCCCAGCCCGCAGCGACAGCGAGGGGGGGUGGGGGCCGCACCAGGGCCACGGAGGGCGAGGCACCGGAGGCACGAGGGAGAGCCCCGCCGCCAGGGCGCCUCGACGCGACAGCGCCAACAACCGCACACACCGGACGGCCCUCGCGCCAUCUCCCGCCCAUCCAACCAUCCGGAUCUCCAUGCCCGGAGAAGCACCGCGACCCCGAGGGAACGCUCCCCAGGGGCGACCACGCGGGCCGAGGGGGAAGAGAGGGCUGGGCGCAGCCCAACACACGUGCCGACCGCCGCCCGACGACGGCCAGUCGCAGCCCGGGGUGGCGAGCAGGGGAAGCUGAGAGCUGCCCGCUCGCGCCACAGCCCCGGCCGACAAGGCAACACACGGAGAGUGACGCGGAAGGCACGAAGAAAGAGCGACGGACCGCCAGCCCGGCCCGGCGGGACCCUCCCCCGACACGGAGGGGGGAGGCGCGGGCCGCGGCCAUUAGGGCCGAAAGAGCAGCGCCCCGGUCCCCACCGCGGGGACCGGCAGACCCACCAGCACGCCUACGCUUCCCCCCAACAGAAGGGGCAAA